rnacentral:rRNA from 1 species
GGUUAACGCUGGCGGCGUGCCUAACACAUGCAAGUCGAACGGUUCUAAGCGCGAGCUUAGGAUAGUGGCGAACGGGUGAGUAAAAGGUAGGAAUCUACCCCUUGGACGGAGAUAGCUACUGGAAACGGUAGGUAAACUUCGAUAAGCCCGAGAGGGGAAAGUGGUGAGACAGCCGAGGGAUGAGCCUACUCUCCAUCAGGUAGUUGGUGAGAUAAAAGCUUACCAAGCCGAUGACGGAUAACCGGUGUGAGAGCAUGAACGGUCACAAGGGCACUGAGAGACGGGCCCUACUCCUACGGGAGGCAGCAGUUGGGAAUCUUAGGCAAUGGACGAAAGUCUGACCUAGCGACGCCGCGUGAGGGAAGAAGGCCUUCGGGUUGUAAACUGCUUUUGUACGGAACGAAACGGUGAGCUCUAAUAAAGCUUGCUAAUGACGGUACCGUAAGAAUAAGCACCGGCUAACUACGUG